AACCGGAGGGAAACUCAAUGCACAGACCCUGAUUUGCAACUUGUAAUGUAAAUCAACUCAACUGCAUCAUGUACUUACCAGCCACCUUCUCCCAACUGUGGCCGGGGCCGAGAAGCAGCAUGUUCUGUCCAUCUGUAAAAGGCCUUCUUUCUCUCUUAAGACGUCACAACUGGUUGUUACUGAGAACUUUAGAAAAACGACUAGAUCGUUUGGCUCUUUCUGGGCCUUCCACCUACACUCCAUGCCCUCUCUCCUCCCAAGAAAACACGAAUUAAAAUACAGGGAGUAUCAACCGCAUCCUGCCAACACCUCAUAAGACUCCAAGGCUUUACCGAGAUCUUCCACCUUCCCCGGGAUAAAUGAAGACAAGUGCUUCCUAGAAUCUUUAUGGUGAUGGAAAAGAUAUACUAAAAGAAGACAGAUCAGUCUCUCUCCUGAUAAGAAGAGUCACCAAGAGGAACAUCUGCAACAACUAGAUGCUGCUACAAAGAGACCAAUCAACAACUGCUCAGCAGAGAUACAGAUCUGAAGCACAGAAGUGCAAUAGACCUUCCUGAUGCCUUCGCCAGGAGCAUGGAAUUCUUCCCAGAGUCACAGAAGAUGGCACAGCCUGGGGACAAUUGGGAAUCACCUGGAGGAUGGCAGACAACACGAACCUGCAAGUAAUCAUCCGACCAACUUCCUCUACUGCUUGGGAAUUGUUGUAUAAUCUUGGGAGGUCACUUCAACUAUACAAUUGGACUAAGAA
rnacentral:lncRNA from 1 species